GGUUGCUGGACUUGCCAUUGUUUCUGUUAUUUGUUUUACCUCAAGUGCUGUAUCAUUGUGAUUGGCGGAGCUUUAGAGGGAUCUAUGUCUCUCUUCUACUGAUCGUAUACUAUUUUAUAGGUUCAUCUGUACCU